GUGCUUGGUUCACAGCACAUAUGCUAAAACUGGAACAAUACAGAGAUUAGCACAGCCCCAGCACAAAGAUGAUGUGCAAAUUCAUGAAGUGUUCCAUAUUAAA
ensembl:snRNA U6 U6 spliceosomal RNA